UUGUUGGAGUUUUUAGGAUAGCUGGGUCUUUUUUAAAAUUUCUAAUAAGCUAUUUCAUGCAAGAUGAGGAGCUAUGAUAAGAGAGAUUCAAGGUAAUUUCUAAAUAAGAAUUUUGAGGCAACAACUACAAUAAGUGGUUAAUUUUUUUCUCCUUAGUUUGGCUCUUAUUUUCUUAAGAUUUAUUUAUGGACUUUUUCAAUUUGAAUUUUGUAGCUUGAACUAAAUUUAAUAAGCUAAAAUUUAUUUAAAUUAGAUUAAAAAGAGAGUGAAGAUUUUGCAUGGAGGUAA
rnacentral:lncRNA from 1 species